AGAGUCUCAAAUCAGGCUUAGAUGAAAGCACUGAGGAGAUGUUUUGUCCUUCAUUUGACAAAUAUUUAUUCUAGAACACUGUUCCAAAGAAUUAAAAAUCUAAAUAAAAUAUAGCCAUCCAGGCAGCUAGCAGAAAAAUAAUGAAAUAAAAGUACAUUUAUUGGCAUGGAAAGUUGUUCACAAUAAAGGAAAAUAUAUAUCCAUAAGCAUUGUUCACUUUUCUGUGUGUAUGUGUGAGUAGAGACUGUGUGUAUGUAUCUAUCCAGAUAUUUUUUUUCAUUAUUCAUGUAUAUACAUAGAUAUAUUGAGCGUGUAGUGUGCUAUCUUAAACAAACAAAACACUUGCCUGUAGUUACUCUGUCUUCUAAGAGCUGGUGUAGGGGUGGUAGACAGUGAUGUAGAAGGUGGUCAGAAUCACAGCUUUCAUGCCAGUGGGAGAAUAAAUCUCUAUACUGCUUUCUUUUGCCUACACAAGCCAGUACAAAAGGAGUCUUGCCUAAGAUUUUAAUCAUGUUAAAAGAAAGAUUAAAAUUUCAAAAUUUAGGGUAAGUUUUGCCUAAUACAUUUUAACUUUAGAGCAAUGCACAUUUGCAUAACAAAAAUCUCAAAGAACAUAGUUUCUAUCUUUAAGGAGCUCUUUUAGAAAAACACAGAGGAAGAAGUCACUGCCUCUACCUGGAGGUACCCAGGUAGGCUCCCUCAAGGAGUUGGUCUUUAAAUUGGGUUUUAAAUGAAAAGUCCUCAGAAAAUAAACAGCACAUGUUAAAGCAUAAAGGAGCCUGGCAAUUCAGUAGGACUGGACCUCAGACAGGGGUGUAUGGAGACCCACAUAUGGAAGGGAGUGUAAGUGGUAGCAAAAGGCUGUAACAGCAAAUGGGGCCCAGAUAAUGAAAAUGUAAGCCAGCCGGGCAUGGUGGCUCACUCUUGUUAAUCCCAGCACUUUGGGAAGCCAAGGCAAGAGGAUUGCUUGAGUCAAUGAGUUCAAGACUAACCUGGGCAACAUAGUGACACCUCUGUCUCUACAAAAAAAAUUUUUUUUAAAUUAGCUGAGUGUAGUGGCACACACCUGUAGCCCUAGC
rnacentral:lncRNA from 1 species